ACAACAACUCCAGUUGUCCCAGUUCCAGUUGAAGGUUGUAAAGAAGACUGUGAUGAGUACAGCAUAUGUAAAAAUGGGACAUGUGUGUGUAUUGAUAGUUGUCCACCUGUUUUCAAACCAGUUUGUGGAUAUGAUUCAAAGUCUGAAGAAUACAUGACUUUUUCAACAGAAUGUGACCUUUUGAAAAACUUUUGUAAGGAUAGGAAAUUCCAUUUAAAACAUCAUGGAAACUGUGAAGAAGAACCAGAAAAAAAAUGGAUCACACCUGUUGCUGUUGCUGUCGUCAUUGGCUUUAUUAUCAUCUGUUUUGUGGCAUACUGUAUUCAUAAAAAA